AGUGAACGCUGGCGGUAGGCCUAACACAUGCAAGUCGAACGGCAGCACAGUAAGAGCUUGCUCUUACGGGUGGCGAGUGGCGGACGGGUGAGGAAUACAUCGGAAUCUACUUUUUCGUGGGGGAUAACAUAGGGAAACUUACGCUAAUACCGCAUACGACCUACGGGUGAAAGCAGGGGAUCUUCGGACCUUGCGCGAUUAAAUGAGCCGAUGUCGGAUUAGCUAGUUGGCGGGGUAAAGGCCCACCAAGGCGACGAUCCAUAGCUGGUCUGAGAGGAUGAUCAGCCACACUGGAACUGAGACACGGUCCAGACUCCUACGGGAGGCAGCAGUGGGGAAUAUUGGACAAUGGGCGCAAGCCUGAUCCAGCCAUACCGCGUGGGUGAAGAAGGCCUUCGGGUUGUAAAGCCCUUUUGUUGGGAAAGAAAAGCAGCAGGUUAAUACCCCGCUGUUCUGACGGUACCCAAAGAAUAAGCACCGGCUAACUUCGUG
rnacentral:rRNA from 1 species